UUGCUUUGGCAGCAAACAUCCUAAAGUUGGAAUGAUACACAAUUAUCAUGGCUGCUGCCCAAGGAUGAUAUGAAAAUUCAUGAAAUGUUCCAUAUAAAA
ensembl:snRNA U6 U6 spliceosomal RNA